AUGCACUGUAUUAUUGUAAAUAUUCUAUAUCACACAUAUAUGCGUAUAUUUAUUUUCCUAAGAGUAAAAAUCACAGCACUCAGCAGAAAGGAAAGAGAAGAGAUGGGCCUGACUCCAAAAGUGACUGUGUGAUCUGACAAGAGUCCACGCAAUAGAGAAGGGGCGUGUCCCCAUCACAGAUCCAACAUCCUGCCAGUUCUCUCUGCAGUUCUCCCUGGAGAGUAAGUAUGUGCAGUCUGUCCUGACAAAGACUGGGCCCCAAGUUGUAAGAAAAGGUUCACUUCCUGCCAAGUAAAAUAACCUUUCCCACAAAUUGAGCAACAUAAUAAAAAAGGAGAGAGAGAGAUUGCAGCCUAGAAGAGAACGCUAGGAAGAGAGGCUGGUUUCUGCAGUUAGAGGUGCUGUAGGGUCAAAAUUAAUGCUGUAUCUUAGACCAUCCUUUCAGUCUACAAUACUGCUCCUAAUUGUUAGUAUGAGCAAAAGGAAAUAAUCAGUACUGUUUUAAUAUCCAAAAGAGAAGGUUUACAGGGGUGAUGAUAGAAUACUGAAGCAAAUAUUUUAUAGUGAAGCUACCCAUUGUUUUUAUUUGUUGGUUGAUUUGUUAUAAAAUUUCAUUUCUGUAUGUGGGAGCUAAAAGCAUCCAAGUUGAAGUGAUAUCUUCAAGGCUUUUUUUCCCCUCCUGUUUUUAAUAAUUUUUCACUUUGUCUUAGUUUGAUUACUUGAACAUUGUUAAGUCAUUCUUAUUAAAAUACUAUUGGCACUGGGUGUAUCUUAGUUGGAGAGUGCUUACCUAAUAUCCACAAGACCUUGGGGGUUUAUACCUGCAUAAACAAGGAGCGGUGGCGAACACCUAAAAUCCCAGCACUCAGGAGGUAGAUGCAGGAGGAUCAAAGGUUCAAGGUUAUCCUCUGCCACAUUGGGAGUUCAGGACCAAUCUGGGAUAUAUGAGACUUUCUUUAAAAAAAAGAAAAAGUACAUCAAUAGUGUACAUGAGGCUCUGAGGCCCUGUUUUCAACACAGAUGCACACACACAUGUACACGCACACACUCAUUAUGACACUGAGAAAGGCAAUGGCUUCUACUGAAAAUAAAUUAUCUUCCAACAAUACAGUUUUUACUGCUGUGAAUGAAUUUUAUUUAUUGUCCAGCCAGCUAUGCUCUGGCAACCUUACCAUUAACUCCAGCAACCUAGAAUGUAGGAUUAUGUUAUGAGGAAGAGAGGGCAAAUUAACAAGAUGGGACUGAAUGAAAAGCUUAAAUAUUAUUUAAAUAGUCAAAACGUUUCCUGAGACUGUAAC
ensembl:lncRNA